UACGAAGGGGGCUAGCGUUGCUCGGAAUCACUGGGCGUAAAGCGCACGUAGGCGGCUUUCUAAGUCAGGGGUGAAAUCCUGGAGCUCAACUCCAGAACUGCCUUUGAUACUGGGGAGCUCGAGUCCGGAAGAGGUGAGUGGAACUCCGAGUGUAGAGGUGAAAUUCGUAGAUAUUCGGAAGAACACCAGUGGCGAAGGCGGCUCUCUGGAACGCAACUGACGCUGAGACGCGAAAGCGUGGGGAGCAAACAGGG
rnacentral:rRNA from 1 species